UACGUAGGCAGCGAGCGUUGUUCGGAGUUACUGGGCGUAAAGGGUGCGUAGGCGGUUGUUUAAGUUUGGUGUGAAAUCUCCCGGCUCAACUGGGAGGGUGCGCCGAAUACUGAAUGACUAGAGUGCGGGAGAGGAUAGUGGAAUUCCUGGUGUAGCGGUGAAAUGCGCAGAUAUCAGGAAGAACACCAAUGGCGAAAGCAGCUUUCUGGGACGGUACUGACGCUGAGACGCGAAAGCGUGGGGAGCGAACAGG
rnacentral:rRNA from 1 species